rnacentral:rRNA from 1 species
GAUGAACGCUGGCGGCGUGCCUAAUACAUGCAAGUCGAGCGAACAGACGAGGAGCUUGCUCCUCUGACGUUAGCGGCGGACGGGUGAGUAACACGUGGAUAACCUACCUAUAAGACUGGGAUAACUUCGGGAAACCGGAGCUAAUACCGGAUAAUAUAUUGAACCGCAUGGUUCAAUAGUGAAAGACGGUUUUGCUGUCACUUAUAGAUUGAUCCGCGCCGCAUUAGCUAGUUGGUAAGGUAACGGCUUACCAAGGCAACGAUGCGUAGCCGACCUGAGAGGGUGAUCGGCCACACUGGAACUGAGAAAGGGUCCAGACUCCUACGGGAGGAAGCAGUAGGGAAUCUUACGCAAUGGGCGAAAGCUUGACGGAGCACCGCCGCGUGAGUGAUGAAGGUCUUCGGAUCGUAAAACUCUGUUAUUAGGGAAGAACAAAUGUGUAAGUAACUAUGCACGUAUUGACGGUACCUAAUCAGAAAGCCACGGCUAACUACGUG